AAGAUAAGGGAGAAUAUUAAGGAAAUUAAGAAGAUGUGUAAGAAUUAUAAAAAAAGGAAAGAACUGCAGCUGACGAUUAUUAGGGAUCAAACAUUACAGCAUGAAAAUCGGAACAAUACAGCUACUCUACAUGCGGAGGCGCUACGCAAUCAGAUCCUGACGCGGGAUAUUCUUAGAAUGCGCUCUCUAAAAUACACAUUCUAAAUGAUUGCAUCCUGUAUAAAGUUCAUGGAAGGCACACGUUUAAAUAACAAACCGAAGGACACGAAAUGCUCGAACAGAUGGUUAGAAAAAGUUGCUUCGGAAAAGAAGCACGUUGAUCUUUGGAAAUAUGGAAUGUAAUGUAUCGAAGGAAUGACGAAUCGUUAGAAAACACAACCCGAUCAUGAUCAAGCAAGUACAUUGAAUAGAGGUACAUAGUUGCGAAACCAAAUUUCGAGAUUAACAUAACGCUUUUAAAAUGAAGGAUGACGUGAUCUUGACCUGGUGCAGAAGAUCACGUGUCUUCGUCUGGCGUAACACAUUCUGCUUGCUUUGAUGGCGAACGCAUCUACGGCGCAUUGGCACCUUCGUGCGUGUUUAUCACGCCUUCUCUGUCCUUGCACUUGAUCUAAAAGGACUUUACGGGUAGCGUCAGUUCGUGCCAUACGUAUGUCAUAGAUAGCUCGUAGAAGCCAAUUGAGCAUUACAGAGAGAUCGCCAAACAAACCUUCUACUGAGCCGUAACUGAAGUGUCUUCUCAAUUGUCAUUCCACGAGUACAGUGGUGCAGAAUCAGCGGAGCAUCUGUCCUUCGAAUGUCGCUAAGAGUGCCCUGAACUACAAAAGCAAAAUCGUUCACAUGCAACAGUCACGACCGACGUUUGUGGUUCCAGUGUUAUACGUGAAACCUUAUGUUCAGGUGUAUCGAGACGGAUUAUCAACUGUUAUAUCUUCAGUCUCCAAACUUUAUUCAUUAUUGGGUUUAACAACUCAAUGCUGAUUGGUUCACUCAUAGACAUACGCUGUUAAGGAGGCGGGACCCGUGUUAGAUUUGAUUAAUUAGUACAAACUGAGUUAACGAGUUAUUGUACAUGUAUUGUUCAUGCAUUGUUUUGUAUAGAAGUUUAUCGAGUAUAGUGUGCCAGUUUUCGCAUACAAAAUAAUGUUUGCAGGAUAGUUAGUCCUACGCUACGUAUGGGGGCACGGUCUAUUCGGGGCUUGAACCCAUGACGGGCAUGUUGUUAAGUCGUACGAGUUGACGGCUGUACCAGCAGCCCGGUAAUGCUAGCUAGGGGAUGCUAGGGUAGUUUUACAAAAUUUAGGUAGGCAUUUUACUCGCAUGCGCUCUUGUGUACUUACAAAUUCAGGUAGGAAAUUAUUGCAGACAGCUGAAGAGCUGUGUCUAUCAACAACAACAAAAAAACAUACAAUUAAGUGUUUAGUGGGAUUGAAUAUAUUUGCUGAUCAAUUUUUAAUUUGAAAACGGGAAAAUAGGACGAAGAACAAUAUAUUGUAAUAUGAAAUAUUGUUUGAAUUAAACAU